CUUCCGCAAUGGACGAAAGUCUGACGGAGCGACGCCGCGUGAGUGAUGAAGGUUUUCGGAUCGUAAAACUCUGUUGUUAGGGAAGAACNAGUACCGUUCGAAUAGGGCGGUACCUUGACGGUACCUAACCAGAAAGCCACGGCUAACUACGUGCCAGCAGCCGCGGUAAUACGUAGGUGGCAAGCGUUGUCCGGAAUUAUUGGGAGUAAAGCGAGCGCAAGCGGUUUCUUAAGUAUGAUGUGAAAGCCCCCGGAUCAACCGGGGAGGGUCAUUGGAAACUGGGGAACUUGAGUGCAGAAGAGGAGAGUGGAAUUCCACGUGUAGCGGUGAAAUGCGUAGAGAUGUGGAGGAACACCAGUGGCGAAGGCGACUCUCUGAUCUGUAACUGACGCUGAGGCGCGAAAGCGUGGGGAGCGAACAGG
rnacentral:rRNA from 1 species